AGAGUUUGAUCAUGGCUCAGAACAAACGCUGGCGGCGUGCCUAACACAUGCAAGUCGUACGAGAAAGUUCGCUUCGGCGGAUGAGUAAAGUGGCGAACGGGUGAGUAACGCGUGGAUAAUCUGCCCUUUUGUUGGGGAUAACCUAUCGAAAGAUGGGCUAAUACCCGAUAAUACUGCAUUCACUGCGGUGAGUGCAGUCAAAGAGGGCCUCUGUUUACAAGCUUUUGCUGAAGGAGGAGUCCGCGUACCAUUAGCUAGUUGGUAGGGUAAUGGCCUACCAAGGCGACAAUGGUUAGCUGGUCUGAGAGGAUGAUCAGCCACACUGGAACUGAAACACGGUCCAGACUCCUACGGGAGGCAGCAGUGAGGAAUUUUGCGCAAUGGGGGAAACCCUGACGCAGCAACGCCGCGUGAGUGAGGAAGGUUUUCGGAUCGUAAAGCUCUGUCAGAUGGGAAGAAAUGCAGGGAAGUUAAUAUCUUUUCUGCUUGACGGUA
rnacentral:rRNA from 1 species